rnacentral:rRNA from 1 species
UCUCCUGGAAACGGGUGGUAAUGCCGGAUGCUCCGCCCCCUCGCAUGGGGGGUCGGGAAGGCUUUUGCGGAAUGGGAUGGGGUCGCGUCCUAUCAGCUUGUUGGCGGGGCGACGGCCCACCAAGGCUUCGACGGGUAGCCGGCCUGAGAGGGCGACCGGCCACAUUGGGACUGAGAUACGGCCCAGACUCCUACGGGAGGCAGCAGUGGGGAAUAUUGCACAAUGGGGGGAACCCUGAUGCAGCGACGCCGCGUGCGGGAUGGAGGCCUUCGGGUCGUGAACCGCUUUUGAUUGGGAGCAAGCGUGAGUGAGUGUACCUUUCGAAUAAGCACCGGCUAACCACGUGCCAGCAGCCGCGGUAAUACGUAGGGUGCAAGCGUUGUCCGGAAUCAUUGGGCGUAAAGGGCUCGUAGGCGGUUCGUCGCGUCCGGUGUGAAAGCCCAUCGCUUAACGGUGGGGUCUGCGCCGGGUACGGGGCGGGCUUGGAGUGCGGCAAGGGGAGGCUGGAAUUUCCCGGUGGAACGGUGGAAAUGUGUAGAUAUUCGGAAGAACCACCA